GACGAACGCUGGCGGCGUGCUUAACACAUGCAAGUCGAACGGAAAGGCCCUUCGGGGUACUCGAGUGGCGAACGGGUGAGUAACACGUGGGUGAUCUGCCCUGCACUUUGGGAUAAGCCUGGGAAACUGGGUCUAAUACCGAAUAUGAUCAUCGGCUUCAUGGUCGGUGGUGGAAAGCUUUUGCGGUGUGGGAUGGGCCCGCGGCCUAUCAGCUUGUUGGUGGGGUAAUGGCCUACCAAGGCGACGACGGGUAGCCGGCCUGAGAGGGUGACCGGCCACACUGGGGCUGAGAUACGGCCCAGACUGCUACGGGAGGCAGCAGUGGGGAAUAUUGCACAAUGGGCGCAAGCCUGAUGCAGCGACGCCGCGUGAGGGAUGACGGCCUUCGGGUUGUAAACCUCUUUCAGCACAGACGAAGCGCAAGUGACGGUAUGUGCAGAAGAAGGACCGGCCAACUACGUGCCAGCCGCCGCCGUAA
rnacentral:rRNA from 1 species